AGACAUCAGAGUUGCCUACUGAUGCCAUGUAAGGAAAUACAAGGAAGCAGAUAAUUAAAAAUGCCAUUGUGGAGUUGGAGGAAGUUUAAAGUGAAUAUAUGCCAUUUUAUAUUCAUCCAUUCAUUCAUAUUUCCAUUCAACAAGUAAUUAUUGAACAUCAACCAUAUACAAAGAUGAAUCAAACAUGAUUCUGGUCUUGUGAUUCUUUCAAAAUGAUAUCUCCUCUGAGGAUUGAUGGGAGUGUCAGAGAGCCACUGGUGUUUGUCCCAAGUAAUUGGAUUGACCCUUUGAAGAAAAGGUUUCCACUUUAAUGCAGAGUUCCCUUUCCUGGGUGCCACCUCUCACCCAGGCCCAGUAUGACACACAUGCAGGCCUCAAAAGGCCUGGGCUGGGUGCUGUCUCUGCUGCUAUCAAUGGGUCUACCCCAUGCCAGCUUCAGGGAUGUGGAGACAAGGCUCAAGAGGAAGAGGCAUUACUUUAAAGUUUUGACCACAGAUCAGCUGCUCUUAACUGGUAGGCAGCACAUUCACUUGGCUCAAAUAUCAGAAGAUAUAAAAAAAGCAAAUCAUCCAAGGAAGAAUCUCCCUUCUAUCCUGUCUUGCCCACACCCCUGCACCCAUGAGCCCUGUGUCCCACUCCUGAUAGACACUGUUGUGGUUGCCUGUUAUACUUCCAGUUUGGGUAUCCACGAAAAUACAAGCAAAUGCAAUGCAUAUUGAUGCCCAGCCUUUUUACAAAAACAUGGUGGCAUUCUCUACUGCACUUUUAACUUAAUCCUGCACUUUUAAUGUAAUGAGAUUUUUCCAUGGGGGGAUGGGAGGGAGGGGAGAUGAAGACUAUCUGACAGUUGUCCAGGGGAUUUGCACAAUUACUCAAUGGAUUUAUAGAAUGGUGAAUCUGGGGAAUGUUCACUGGUUCAGACUAGUAAGAAUGUGCUGGACUUCUCUCCUUCUUGUUUUUUAAGUUUCCUCCCUUCCUUCCUUCCUUCCUUCCUUCCUUCCUUCCUCUUCCUUCCUUCCUUCCUUCCUUCCUUCCUUCCUUCCUUCCUCUUUCCCUCCUUCUCUCCCUCCUAUCUUCUUUUUCAUUAUUUUGCAGUUGGUAAAUUCGCUAGGUAUUUGCUACUAUCUUGAUCUGUUCAGAUAUUUUUGAUCUUUGUUGCUGAGCCAUAAGGUUCUCACUGAACAACUACCAAAAAUGUGGUCUUAUUGUACAAUACUCCUGUGCCAAACAGAGACAGGUCUCUGCUGGCAGAUGUCUUUCCUCAAAAUGUGCAGAUAUGCUCCUGUCAACUUUAGUGAGAAAUUCAAAGUCAAGUUCACUUCUUGGAAAGAAUCUGCCUAUCAAAUGUAAUUGUGCUUGGGUAAAUACUCAGCAAAUAAACUGUUUCUACUUCACUAAUCCUGGGAAUGC
rnacentral:lncRNA from 1 species